CGAAAGCCUGACGGAGCAAUACCGCGUGAGGGAGGAAGGCUCUUGGGUUGUAAACCUCUUUUCUCAGGGAAUAAAAAAAUGAAGGUACCUGAGGAAUAAGCAUCGGCUAACUCCGUGCCAGCAGCCGCGGUAAUACGGAGGAUGCAAGCGUUAUCCGGAAUGAUUGGGCGUAAAGCGUCCGCAGGUGGCACUGUAAGUCUGCUGUUAAAGAGCAAGGCUCAACCUUGUAAAGGCNGUGGAAACUACAGAGCUAGAGUACGUUCGGGGCAGAGGGAAUUCCUGGUGUAGCGGUGAAAUGCGUAGAGAUCAGGAAGAACACCGGUGGCGAAAGCGCUCUG
rnacentral:rRNA from 1 species